GGGGUGGUGAUUGUUUUUAUUGAUAGUUUUAAGAGAAUCUUGUGUUGUUUAUAGGACUAUACUGUUGGUUUUUAUGAAUUCUGCUAUUUCCUUAUAAUGGUUUAUAUUAGCUAGUUCAAGAAUUUCAUCUAUGUUGUUAUGGUUGGAUAGGGAGGGGUAGUUGUUUCUAUUUGGAUAUUUCGGACAUUCGAACAGUAUGUGGUUUAAGUUUUCGGGUGUGUCGCAAAUGUCGCAUUUAUCAUCAGGGGUUCUUGAACCAAGGCUUUUUGUAUGGUACUUUAUGGAGUGCGAAGUAUUUUUUCCCUUUUUGUUGGGAUUCUUCUGUGUAAUGCUUCGACCAGUCUUCGAAUGUUUCCUUACACGCUAGUAAGAUUCCAUCACUCAGCGGAAUUUUCCCGUAUAUUGUAUUUGAACUUGUGCAGCCGUUUUUCGAAAGUUUAUCUGCUUUCUCGUUCCCUAAUAGCCCUUUAUGGGCCGGCACCCAUUGUAGGAAGUCAGUCUGUUAUUUACAUCCUACUCGCGCGCAAGCAACAACUUUAGCAGAACUGCCUGUAAGUCUGUGAAAACUUCGAAAUUUUUCCGCUUCUCUCGGAUAGUUGUUGGUUUCCUCUGGGUCCAGAAGCGUCAUAAUACGCUAUCAUCAAACGAUUCCACAAUCUGAUUCUACCAUAGUUGCGGCCGCAAUCAAGCAAGGGUAAUAUCAAGGGAUUUCCAACUUCAACACCCAGUCGCCUGUUGAAUCACACCCUGUCCCAGAAGUUGAAUCACACCUGCUCAAGUGUCGAUUUUCUGGUGUGGCCAAUCCCAUCCGGGUGGUUUCCAUCAUGAUAUGGCCAAUUCAAUCCUUAACGAAAAAACUGAAUUCUUGGAUGAACCGGAGAAAGUUUUUAAAAAUAACUGGCCGGAAAUGAUGAAAUCAA